rnacentral:rRNA from 1 species
UGAGGAAUAUUGGUCAAUGUGCGAGAGCCUGAACCAGCCAAGUAGCGUGCAGGAUGACGGCCCUAUGGGUUGUAAACUGCUUUUAUAUGGGAAUAAAGUGAGGGACGUGUCCCUUAUUGCAUGUACCAUAUGAAUAAGGACCGGCUAAUUCCGUGCCAGCAGCCGCGGUAAUACGGAAGGUCCAGGCGUUAUCCGGAUUUAUUGGGUUUAAAGGGAGCGUAGGCUGUUUGUUAAGCGUGUUGUGAAAUGUAAGAGCUCAACUUUUAGAUUGCAGCGCGAACUGGCAGACUUGAGUGCGCACAACGUAGGCGGAAUUCAUGGUGUAGCGGUGAAAUGCUUAGAUAUCAUGACGAACUCCGAUUGCGAAGGCAGCUUACGGGAGCGCAACUGACGCUAAAGCUCGAAGGUGCGGGUAUCGAACAGG